UGAGCUCGCGCGUGCUCGCGGCCUUCACUCCAGCCCGAGCGGGGCUGCGCGCGCACGUUGCCCGAUUCACGCAGGGCGGCCAGGCAGCGAGCUUUGCUCCCACGCGCUCCUCAUUCGCGGACGCGCUAGCGCGACGGGCUUCCCGCUCGGAGCAGGCUUCGAACCGCGUCUGGACGGGGGCCGCGGCACGUCCACUUGCGCGCUUCUAGGGGUUUGGAGCGGCCUCAGUGCUGCAUACAAAAGCAGAGGACAGGUUGUUGCAAGGGGAGAAGGGUGAGAAUAUAAUUUCUCUGAUGUAUAUACGAAGGAAGAGGUGAACAAUGGAUUAUAGUAUUGAACUGGAGCAAGAAUCUGGAACCAAGAGCAAUAAAAUGAUCAAAUGACCACAAAAAAGAUGUGCUAAGUGAUCAUGGCUUUGGCAUCAGUAUGUUCCCUUUGGUAUCCAAGUCUUCAUUCUUUUGAAGAAAAACGAAUGCAUGCAUUUUGUCAGGCAAAGCCAGCCUCUGUUUUAGGCUGUUGCCCUGGAUAUCCAGCAUGCCUGUAAAAUCCAUAUCUAUCAAGUCUGCAUGCAUCAAAUUAGCAGCUUCGCGUGCAAUACAGAAAGAUAUCUCACAUGUGUUUACUUGCAAUUUGUUCUGGAUAUUACCCACAUUCACAGUACACAAGCUGCUUCCCACAUGCAAAAUACACAUUCCCACAAAAGAGAGUUCUGUUUUAUAUUAUGGAUACUUCAGCCCCUCUCUUUAUUCUAUGGGUUAAAAAUUGAUUCCUUCAACAACAACAAAAAACAAAGGCAGAACUGGGAAAUUAAAUAAUAUGGGAAACAAAGCUGGCAAAACACAAGACUAACAUCAUUUCAUAUAGCCUCUGAUUAAAGUUUGAAUUUCUCAGAAAUCUGGAAGAUGGCCAGAUAAUUGAUCCAGAUGGAACAUUGAUUCUCAAGAAAAUUCUCAUUUUACAGGAACAUUGAUUCUCAAGAAAAUUCUCAUUUUAGAGUAAUAGCUAAAAAGUCUAGCCAGGGACAUAUAUUAGGAUUAUCUUCUUUUUCUCAGUAUGUCCACAUAUGGUUUCUAUUUUUUGUAUAAAUUAGGAAAUGGGCAUUAUAAUCUUGGCCUUGCAUUCCUCACUUUAAGUUGGUGGGAAAAUUAUUAUUCUGGUAGUCUGUGACCUUAAACUGCAACAUUAUCUCUUUUAUAACAGACCAGCAUCAUCCUACGGCUAGCCUGAAUCACUGCAUUCUUUUUUUUAAUUUACAGACUUUUAUCUCUUAUUUUCUUUUCAAAAUAAAGUUUGUUUGUGU